UCCAGGACUCUUAACCUUCUGUCAGAGUAAGUCCUUUAUUGGUGCUGAGUAACCAAGGCCGUGCAUUGGUUUCCUUUAACCUUAGGAAUCACGCCUUCCACGUAGAAUUUAUUCACUGAUGUGAAAUAGAUCUGAAUUCUCCUCUUUUCACCAAGAGGGGUCUUAGACCCAGUGUGUAAAGUUGGAAACCUCUGGAAGUGAUGUUCUAUCCUUGCAGACUGAAGUAUGGACCGCAUUAGUGGCAGAGAUGAGAUAUGGACCACAUUGCUGGCAGGAAACAAGAAACUACGGCAUGACUCUUCUGACCACCCAGUACAUUAACCUGAAGCUUUCAAGUGCGACUGCUUUUGCAACUAAAGCUAAAACCACCCUGUCUCGCAGAGGCAUCGACAUCUAAGGGAGGACCAGGCUGUCGGCAUCGAGUACUCAUUGGACGUGGAAGGAGGCACUGGGCAGUUAAGAAAGAACAGCUCAGCCCAAAGCAGUUCCCAGUGCAGAUGGAAUGAGUGACAGAAACAACCGAUGCAUAGAUGUCGGCAGGAGCCAGCGCAUUCCUAGCUGGAGUUGUCCGGGAGACUGCCUAUAGGAGGCGAGUGGGACAGCUGGUCUUUGAGGACACGGGGCUCUGACCUGUGAACAGGGAGGAGUCCUUGUCGUGGAUACGGCAUGAGUCAAGGGGACGUCCAGAUAUGGCCCUUCCCCUCAUACCAGGCUCUUUCAGAGCGCCCAGCUGAAAUCACUGUCACCAUGCCGGCUGGCCACCGUGGACUGUCUUGCUGCAAGCACUGGAUUCUUGAGGAAAACAGAAAUGCCUCACAGUCUUCAUGUGUCUGAAAUAAGAACAAAGAGUCUCUUCCCAGAGGGACUCAGGUUCGCUUGGGUGUUGUUUGUACAGACUUUGCUCAUUCCAAAGCAGGAAUUACCUUGCCUUUUGUUGCUGACAGUCUAGCCCUCCCAGUCUGAACCAAGUUUGGCCAUUCUAAAAGUGAUUAGAUGGAGAGCAUGCGCCUGAAGGGAGAGAAGGAAUGAAGGGGAGGGGUGAGGCUGUGUGCUCCAGGAGGCAGGGCAGCGGGAGGCAGGUGCAAACCUCCCAGGCAGCAGCCUCUGCCAGCCCAAGUCCCCGGCAGCACCAGUAACUCUCUGGGUUAUUCUCUGGAAAGGGCUCCCGUGUCCUUCUCUGCCAGCAACUGAAACUAUAAAGCAGACACUAAUUGUAGCGAUAAAUUACCAGACCCUUCCCGGUGGGCCUUUGGGUCACAGGCAGCAAGGAGUACCCAGAUCCUACCCCCAGAGAGUUCUGUCCUUCAUUAAGCUUCUCUCUACUCACCCAGUGGUCAGCAUGGGUCCUGAGUUAGCGAUGAAGGCCCAGUGCUUGACAACAACUCCUCUGGCUUCUCUGGUAGCUCUUGGCAAGAGUUCAGACAGUGGGACCAGGUGGUGGCACAGCAAUAACACACUGGACCCACAUGGGAAAGGUCCUGGAUUCACAUCCUGGGGCCUCCCUGAGCACACUGGGUGCGCAGAGGAGACCAAGAGUAGACUGUGGAAUGAAAAGCCUGCGUGGGUAUCUGUCUGUCUGUCUGUCUCUCUCUCUCCCUCAUAGAAGAGGAAAAAAAAAUCCUUAAAGGUAGUAACUACUAGACAGAAAGGACCUUGAUUUCCACCCUGUGCGAAGGGCAGUGCUAACAGGAAUGCCAACUCUCCAACAGUACCCAGCGGUCCUGGUGCUUAGCAGGAAAAUGUGAACCAACACUUCCGUGUUCAAGGAGAAACUCCCCCCAAUGCCAAACGAAUGCAUUAAAUUAGGAAUUUGGAACUCUGUCCUCAUGGUUUCAGUGUGAACUGAAGAGGAAGUGGCAGAAUCUCACAUUUCUGUGACACUCUUUUAGAUGGGCAAGUAGACUGAGGGGCUGGAAAGCAUGUGAUUUGAGCCCAACCCCUCCUGGAGUUCACCUGGAGCGCCAAGUUCCCUUUCUCUCCUGUUAUUGUUAGGCCUUUAAUGUGAAUGCAGAGGGGGGAGAGCAGGGCCCUCCAGAAAGCCUUUGAACAUUUAGUCAUGAGUGCUGCAGUGGGAAAUUUGAUAGGGCUGCUGUGUUGGGUGUGUGGCCACGAGGGUGGUGGGAGGCACUCGCUACACCAUCCAUCAGUCAGUGACAGAAAGCUGGACUCCACUGCGUUCCCCUGGGACUGAAUUCUCUCUGGCUUAGGGGGAUGUCUGAAGCUAAUCGUGGGGCCAGGAAGCCGGCAGUGGGAGACCCAGGCCCUCCAUCACACGGUCACGACACUCGCUCAUCAGCUGCAGAGCGGCCUUAAUGCCUCUUUUCUGUCCUUGCUCUCCAGGUCAAGCUUAACUCCCUGUCUUGUCUAAGAACGUUUAGUGCUCAAGUGUGCCUCACGCUUCCCUUCUGUGUCGCAUCAGUUGUCAUUGACUCAGCACGUCCCAAGUGCCUCUGUGAGAUUGCCCAGAGCACACGUUAAAAACUCCUGUGAUUGAAAUCCAUUCCUGUUAAGUCCAAGCAGGAAAGAGGACAGAAAAUGCCAGGACAGCUAAAUGGGGGCAUAAAGAACCAGAACAACGUAGCUUUUACAAAAUAUAAACAGAUUCAGGGAAGAGGAGAACAGACCUCAAUAAAAACAGGCACAAACAAGGUAAAUGAGUAAUUAUGCCCCCGUUGCUUCAGGAGCAGAACUCAAUAAGCAGCUCUAAGUCUUCCUAACCCUGUCAAUCCAGGCUCAGGAGUUUGGCGGGGAUAUAGGUCUUUAUGAACUACGUGUGCACGUGCAUUGAAAUUGAGUGUUGCAUUCACAGGAUCCCAUUCCUUUCCAUUUUACCUGAUACUCUCCUUUAGGGUAAAGGUAUAAAACACAUUUAAGGUUCUUUGCGUUUUUCCUGGCAAUAAUUGGCAGUUACUCAGCUCCUGUGGGUGCCAUAAAUAAGGAGCAGACAAGGAGACCAGGUUGCUGUCGUUAGCACUGGUUUUAACUGGAUUGGACCAGUGUCAACUUGUAUAUUUGUCAUGCUCUUGUUUGAGAUCACCCCACCCACUUUAUAC